ACUGAAAGAAGGCUUAUUGGGUGAUAGUUCUUUAAAUCAUCUUGGGCUUCUUUCUUGUGUAUAAGAAUCACUUCAGCAUUUUCCCAUGCAUCAGGUAUUUUUUCUUCUCUGAGGCAUCUCCAGUAUAGUUUUGCUAAUAUCUUGUGUAAACUGUGGUCACCAGUUUUUAG